UGCAAUAAACAGAAUCCAUCGCAUCCGGCAGGCAGGCAGCUCAUCCGUCGUUCAUGUAUCGAAAAAUGCUUUCCUGCUUUUUCUUUUGUUUGGUUGCUAAAAUUAGUGCUUAAAUAGUUUGGCCCUGUCAGUCUGCGCUUCAGCUGCCUGUAAAUCCGGUUAACUGAAAAGCGGAGAUGAAUAUGCCAUGACAGGUUUCCCACAUGUGUUGCUAGCUCGGCGUUGAAGUAAACGAAAGAAAAAACAACAGAACGACUAGAAAACGAUCGAAAAAAGGAAAACAAAAUAUAAUUUCCUCACCACAGUAGUGUGCCGGCUGAGUUUUCCCAGAUCUUCGAACAUUAUGUCGGCUAUGAAGAAAAUGUGGAGGAAAACAAAUCCAACACAGAUGAUUGCAUUCCGUGACUGUCUGUAGUCUAAAAUAAAUAAAGAAUGAAAAUGAAAAGUCGUCGAACGGGAAUGUGCGAUGCAAACCAGCUGGGAAAACUCGACCAAUGAAGAGAAAAAACCGGGAUCCGUUUACAUCUACACUCGUAUGUGUUCUGUGUUUUGUGUGGUUUUGUUGCGGGAAAAUCAGGCCAAUCGUGAAGGAAUAAUGCCAAACAGCUAGAGCUAGGCCGACAGGACUAAAGUGCAAUGCAACUGAGAUACUACUGCCCCAGUGUUUGGACUAGUGUGCUCUAUGAUUUGCCGGCAGUUUCACUUUCAUUGCUGAAUCCAUUUAGUGUAGUGCAAUUCAUCGACUAGUUGAUUCGUUCUAGAGCGUUCUGCGCUUGGUGGAAAAUUGGACCACUCAUUUUCUCCCGCUUGCCCAUUAUAAAAGCUUUAUCGUUUUGAAACACUUCGGGGUGUUUGCCCGUUUGGUUUGAUUAGCUUCGUUUGAACCCAUUGCCUCAAGUUGCUUUAAUCCAUCGCUAAUGGUCCCUUAAUCGGUCUUUUCCAUCAACAUGGACAGACCGAAACCAUUUUUGGGCUACGACAAUAAUGUCGGCUUGCUAAUCAAUAAGUUCGAGGUACGCAACUAUCCCAAGAAUAGGAAAAUGGCAGUAAUGCCUCAGUUCGACGAUAGUGAAGUGUUCGUCCGGGCAAGACGUCGAAAUUCCCGGGAUCCUCCGAUUUACGUCAACGAUUCGGGUGUGUUCUACGAAAGUAACGACGGCUUACCACAAACGCGAUUCCGCAACCGUUACACCUUCAAUGAAUCGCUUUCGUCGCUCAACGAGUCCGAUUAUGGAGGCUACGAACCCAUGAUCGAUGAAUAUCGGUCGGAAGAGCCUCCACAAAUCAUAAACAAGCAACAGGUGGCAAGCUCCCUUUCGCGCUUCGGAGCCAUUCUGCAGAUGCUGUCGAAAAUUCCAUUCCCACGCCUGUCCGUCACCGGACUCGGACUCUGUUCCCUGGUCGCAAUCUUCAUCUGUCCCAGGACAAUCGGUGCCAACGUUCUGUUUCCCGGUUUCAGAUUGCUGUUCGGAACGCUCUACCCGGCCUAUGCGUCCUACAAAGCGGUGCGGACCAAAAAUGUCAAAGAAUAUGUCAAAUGGAUGAUGUAUUGGAUCGUGUUUGCGCUCUUCACCUGCAUCGAAACGUUCACCGAUAUACUGCUGUCAUGGUUUCCCUUCUACUACGAGAUCAAAGUGAUCCUGGUGCUGUGGCUGCUGUCGCCGGCCACCCGCGGAAGCUCGACCCUGUACCGGAAGUUCGUCCAUCCGAUGCUGACCAGGCGAGAACAGGAAAUCGAUGACUACAUCAAUCAGGCCAAAGAAAAAGGCUACACAGCCGUUCUUCAGCUCGGAUCCAAGGGUGUCAACUAUGCCACCAACGUGAUUAUGCAGACAGCAAUCAAGGGUGGAGGCGGUUUGGUGCAGACGCUACGCAAAAGCUACAGCCUGAGCGACCUCUCGGAACCGGACACUCACCGCACCCAGGAGGAAAUCGAGGAGUUGAUGAUGUCCUCAGCGUCGUCGUCCCAGCGCCCAUCCCAGCGGGUGUUGCGUUCCAAGAGCGCCCGGUCCUCUUCCGGUGGUCGCCACAUGGACAUGUACUUUCCCGAGGUGGAACUGGCGGGGACACCACACCACCACCAGCCACCGCCGCCGCCCUACAACUACAUUCGUUCCUCAGACGAUAUCAGUUCAGGAUAUUCAAGUGCCGAGCCCGGAUUGAGUCGAACGGCUUCGAUGAGUAAUACUGCGGCCCGACCGAGGGUGAAAUCCAAAACGCGUGAGGAGGACUACGAUGAUGUCUUCUAUGACGGUUCCUCGGGAAUUGUCUACAAUGCCAACGGGGGCAGUGGUUCUCAGUUUGGCGGUGGAGUCGGUGGAUCGGCUACUUUGUACGAAUUACCUCCAAGCCCUCUGCCAGCUAUUACCCAGGAAAGUCAUGCAUUCGAUACCAGGGGCCCUUCUGCGCCAAUUUAUACUCCUCAAAGAACGGGAUCUCUUUCUGGGUUACCGGAAAUCGAUGAAAAAUAUGAGCUAUUUUUGCAGUGGAUGGAAUCUCAGAAAAAAGAUGAACCCGAGAGCAAACAUGACAGUGAAGAGGCGAUUGAAGUGCUGGAGGAAAAACCUGUGGAGAAGAUUCAUGAGCAAAAUAAAACUGCUUCGGCUGUUUUGAACACUCCAGUUAUUGAAGCUCAUGAUGUAGAGAAGAUUGCGGAUGAAGUUAGUUCCAUUAAGAACACCAAAACUGAGCAACAGGAACAGUCUGAAAAUAGCUUCUCUGAAGAUUUAUUCCGAGAUACCAUAUCAGUCGCUAGUGACGAUGAUGAAUUUAUGGAACUCGAAGUUGAUGGAAGUCUAUCGGAAAAUGUAGCUAUUGUAGGGGAAGAUCAGUUCCAAGAGUUAGAAGAUGAACCCCUUCUGAAUAAAGAAAAUGCAGUUGACUCGAAUGUUUCCCAAGAAAAUGCGAGUAUUUCGGAAAACAAAAUCAAUGAGGGAGUUCCAGAUAUAAUUCCAGAAUCAAUAACUGAUAAUUUUGACACUGAACCAAAAGCUCAAGACACAUCUUUUCUGGAAGAAAAACUACAUAUUUCAGAAGACGCAACUUUUCUGGAAAGUAAAUUGCACAUUUCAGAGGACAAACCAUCACACAAUGUUGGAGCACUUGAGCCAAUUAUUGUAGUUGACACGCCAUCAGGUUUGAAAACUCAAAAGGAUGCUCUUGUACCUUUAACACCAGCUGGAGAAAUUCACGUAUCACUUUCUGAUUUGACAGCUUCCACUACUUCGUUGGCAAACUCUGAAGCUAGCAGCGUCCAUACGGAUGAUUCUAAGAAACCAAUAUCUCAUGGAAAACGAAAGGCACCUCCCGUUCCUGUAGCUUCAAAAAUCGAACCCGUAAUUACAACCUCGGAGCCAACGGUCGUACCCAAACCCCCCGAAAGGGCCACAAAGCAAAGCCCAUCGGUAUCGGCUCCUCCGAGGCCCAAAAAGCCUUCAACCCAAGAUGUUCCAGCUCAAGAAAAGGAUAAAAAGACCAAAUCGAACAAACUGAUGAGUUCGAUUACAGGAAUGUUCAAACAUGAUCAUUCAUCAUCGGCGUCUAGCUCUAGCACCGGAAACCGAUCCGUCGAUUCCGGUCUUCCUAAGGAAACUGAAAUUUAAUUGGUCAUCUAAGAAUCACUACCAAAUUCCACAGCUCCCUGCCAAAUCUGAACCUGAGAACCCCUGUUAACAAGUGCAAAUCAUGUUGCAAUUCGCGCCUCUUAAGUUGUAGGCCCUCGAAUGAUGUGGGUGAUUGAAGGCCGUUGUGACCAGGAUAUUCCUUCACUUUUUAGUUUUGGAGUCUUGCCUCAGUUGAAAAAAUGUCCGCCAGCUGCACUACAUUACCUCGUUCGAAGAAGCCGGAUAAGGUGGUCAAAACACGUUCGAAGACGGAAAAGUAAACAAAUGGAAAGCUCAUCGUCAGGAAACACCAUCACAACCCUAACUCGAAGCCAGUUUUCUUCAGUAGACCAGAAGUAAAAUAGUCAAACCCAGUUUUGUUUGCCUCUGCGAUAAGAUAAAUCUUUAGUUCCAUGCUUAGAUUAAGCUUUUGUUUUCAUUAAAUAACAGAAUACUUUCUAUGGUUAAGUUCGAACUGUUCCAAAUGGUGCUUUUAUUAAGGUGAUAUCCUGAUAAACGACGUGCGGAUUGCGAUCAAGAAAAAAACAUGAGCUUAACCGCAUCGCAAUACAGUUGGCUUCAAAACCUAUGACAGAUAUUUGAUAGUGGUUCAUUAUUCAACAAUCAACAACUGUUUAGCAAACUCCCACUUGUCUGUAGUGAGUAGCAUUGUAAGGUAAUAAUAACUCAACAUACAAUACCUGUUUCGGGAAAACAGAAAAAAUAAGCAUUUAUUCUCCUCGAACGAAACACUGAAUAACGUUAAAUGCUAAACUACCAAUACAGAGUAAGAAAUGCCAAACCCUAGAGCAAAAAUUGUGAAAAAUUUAAGUCACUGAUCCUUGUGAACAAGUGGAACUGAUUAGGUGAAAGUUUUCUACCCUGGAAACUGAAUAAGUGUGAUCUCUGUGCUAGGUGACUUUUUCUAUGAUUUUAUCGAUCUUUCUUCAACUGUUUAUUUAUGUUUGCAUUCACUGUAUAUAGAACUCCAUACAAAAUGGGAAACUUUUGAAAAGUUGCCCACUUAUCGACCCAAAUGCAUGUUGGUAGCUUGUUAUUGUAUGUCCAUAAAAAAUAUUGUGUAUGUUAGACAUUUCGGUUUUUACUUUAGCGAAUCAAUAACGACAUAUCUUUAAAUCUCCGUUGUUUUAACGAUCUUAGAGAAUUUGGUAGCAGAUCCUGUUGGUAAAGAAAAGAUGUUCUAUUUCCGUAUAAUUUAAACGAAGCGUAGAACCAACCGGAAUAAGUUCAGAUUCUUAUCGAAAUCUAUUAAAGAUGCAGCAUACACCCGAACCCAGUCCAUGGAUAAAAGUUUAAAUAGUUAAAUGAAUGCUUAACUGCAAUUACACAAAAACACACUGUACGCUCAAACAAUACUAUGAAUAGUUAUCAAGAAAUAAAAAAAAUUGCUGAUCACAGAAAUAGAGCACAAACACAGACAGACACAGAUACAAAGUCAACUCAACUCGAAAGUCAGCUGAUUUAUUUAAGGUUAAGAAAGAAUAAAUAGGCGUGCAGGUAACCCUGGCGCGACAGACCGAUCGAGAUGUAGGAGAAAAAAAAUGACAUUUACGAAAUAUAGACGUUAAAAGUUUAA